ACGAACGCUGGCGGCGUGCCUAAUACAUGCAAGUCGAGCGAAGUUUUUCUGGUGCUUGCACCGGAAAAACUUAGCGGCGAACGGGUGAGUAACACGUAAAGAACCUGCCUCAUAGACUGGGACAACUAUUGGAAACGAUAGCUAAUACCGGAUAAUAGCAUUAACUGCAUGGUUGAUGUUUAAAAGUUGGUUUUGCUAACACUAUGAGAUGGCUUUGCGGUGCAUUAGCUAGUUGGUGGGGUAAAGGCCUACCAAGGCGACGAUGCAUAGCCGACCUGAGAGGGUGAUCGGCCACACUGGGACUGAGACACGGCCCAGACUCCUACGGGAGGCAGCAGUAGGGAAUCUUCCGCAAUGGGCGAAAGCCUGACGGAGCAACGCCGCGUGAGUGAAGAAGGAUUUCGGUUCGUAAAGCUCUGUUGUUAGGGAAGAAUGAUUGUGUAGUAACUAUACACAGUAGAGACGGUACCUAACCAGAAAACCACGGCGAACUACGU
rnacentral:rRNA from 1 species